AUGAGCCCCUCCCGGGGAGGCCAGGUGGGGAGCAGGGCCCUGCAGGCACCUUGGGGGGAGGGGGCCUUCUCCAGGACCCCGUGGGUGCUGAGCAGGGCUUGGGGGAGGGGGCUCCUUGGUGAGCCCAGAAGGUCUCCUGGGGGGCUCAGCUCCGGGUCCCUGACAGUGCCCCGAAGCUCUCCAAAGCCCCCAGGGAAGCGCGGGCACCCUCUGACUAGCCGUAGGACCGCUACUUGUCUGCCUGCGUUUCUUCACCUACAACAGCGGCACUACAGGCCCGUGGGUGGUGCCUGCUGUGUGCUGAGCCCGUUACAAAUAGCCGGGCCUCGCAGCCGUCCUGGGGAGGGGCGGCGUCAUCCCCCUUUUACAGCGGAGGAAACUGAGGCCCCGUGUUUAAAUGACAGCCCCUCCCCCCGAGCCCUGGGUGCUGCGUCCCGGCCUUGGCCCUGGCAGGAGCCAAUCCAGCCUCCCGGGCAGCGGGCAGGCGCCCAGCUGGCCAGAUCCCUCCCUUCCCAGAGGCAGCGGCGGGAACCCUCAGGGCGGGGAAGGCAGGCAGGGCGGCAGCACCCAACCCUCCCUGUGAGGGCGCCUCAUUGGCUUUCAUGGAAGAGGCUUCAGCGAGCAGGCGAGCGCGCCGCCCGCCGGUGCCUCCCUGUGCGCGUCCCUGCAUCCCUGCACGCUCUCCCACUUCACGAGGGGCCCGGGCCACUCCGCUGUGAGACGGGCUGGCGGGGCACUCCAGGGUCCAGCGUGGGAUUUCCUUCCUGGGACCCGGGGGUGGCUCUGGCUCCGCCCUCAGGAGGCCCCUCCCUCUCCUGGCAUCUUGCCUGCUCCCGCCCCCGGCCUGCCAUCUCUGCCUUCGCUGGGCUCCCCCCGCCCGACCUGUCUCGCGCACAGCCAACAAAACGGCUCCCUUUGGGUACAGCCACGACCCCCUCACACCUGCCCAGUCAACGCCGGCGGCUCCCCUCCUGGUCUAGAUUCGUUUGUACCAUAUUACAUCAUUUCUCCAUUUGUGUUGGGUUAUACUGA
rnacentral:lncRNA from 1 species